AGUCCCAGGACAGCUCCUCUUUGGCUGUGGGAGGCCCAGCUUCAGCCUUGUCUGUGGCUUCCUGGUGGGAGGACACAGGCCUUGAGGGACGUUUGUCCGAGACGGUCCUCAUCCUACUGGUAGGGACACAGAGCACCUGUUCCUCUGGCCCCUCCAGGAGCAAGACACAUGCACUGCUGAGGCCUUGGAAGCCUACACAGGUUUAUCACCCACGGCCAGACCUGUCUGUCAGGGAGCAGGUGGGGUCAUCCUGCCCUGAAGCACCGAUGAGCUGAUCCCGGUCAUGCAGAGUGGGUGGGGACCUCUUGGCUGGGCCUGUUCAUGUAGCACACACGGCUUUGCUGCCCAUAGAAUCCAGGGCCCCCAGUGUGAGCACCACUCUCCAUCCCUGAGGCCGAGCCUUACCCUGGAGGCAGCCUCAGGUGAGAUGCCCCUAAUGGAGCCACCUGGCAAUGGACCGCUCUCAGGUCCUUCAGCUCGGUGCACUCACCCGGGAGCCCUGCGUUCUGUCCUGGGGUAGAGGCUCAGGGUUGGUUUGAAGCCAUAUAGUCAGCUCCCAGAGUCACAGAAACGUCCAAGGAAGAAAACUGUCCGAUUACAGACUUUUAAAAUUCAUUCAUAGUUUAAUCAAGAGAACUUGCUGUUCCUUCCUCAAAUUUCCUAGAAUUGGUCUUCUCAUAAUCACCACCUAGGGCACAGCUGUGGCCGAGGCUCCCAUGAUGAAGCGUCUGUGUCAGCGCUGACGAGGUCUGCCGAGGACGCGUUUCUCUCUGCAGCCCGGCACCAGUCUCAAGGCCAUCGGCUCCGACAGCGUCACCUCCUGGGACCUUCCCUUCAUGUAUGGUCCCAGCGGCAUGCGGGCCUGGUGGAGGAGGUCCUGGCCUGCCGCCCAGGGAUGGCCGGUCCAGGCGCAGGGCCGAUUGUCCACUUCUGGCCCCUGAGGUACCGGGAGGGCUGGUGAGCAGCAUGUCUCGCUCUGAGACCGGCCAGGCUGCUGGGGCAGGCAUCUGAUGUACAGUAGUUCCCACACGUGGCAAUGUCACCAGCAAGAGCCACGUAUGAUAAAUUCAGGCCGUCCACCGUGGCAACACUGGGAAGGCUGAUUCUGUAGGAAAGGAUUGGCCUUGGGCCAUCACUGUUCAAAGAAGAAGAAAUCCCUGGAUCACUGUCUGAUCCAACUCCAGACAGACACUCCACACAGGAUUCCUCCUGGGGAUCACGGCUCUUCUCUUGGCGGAGAAGAAGGAGGGAGAAUGAGCCCAUGUCGGGGGCCUCUAGGCAGCCCGCCACAGCCCUACAACUCAAAGAAAACUCACCAGUCCCUGGUCACUCGGAUGUCCUUGGAGGCGCUUGGAUUUACUGCAGGGACCCCAAGAGUCGGCCACGGCAGAGCCCCGUCUGCCAGCCCACCGAGGACUCGGGGAGGGGAGGGAGCACUGCAGCAGAACGGAAAAUGGGUCCACGCUCAGCUUCUUGGUUUAUCAUUUUAGACUUUAUGCGUUGGCUUCCUGCGACAAAUGGUUACAUUUUAACCCUUUUACAACCACAUUUCCUCCCCCAAUCCUCUCAAUGUCAUGAUUUUUCUUUUUUCUUUUUUCUUUUUUUUUUUUUUUUGAGACGGAGUCUCGCUCUGUCGCCCAGGCUGGAGUGCAGUGGCACAACCUCGGCUCACUGCAAGCUCCGCCUCCCGGGUUCACACCAUUCUCCCGCCUCAGCCUCCCGAGUAGCUGGGACUACAGGCGCCCGCCACCAUGCCCGGCUAAUUUUUUCAUAUUUUUAGUAGAGAUGGGGUUUCACCCUGUUAGCCAGGAUAGUCUCGAUCUCCUGACCUCGUGAUCCGCCUGCCUCAGCCUCCCAAAGUGCUGGGAUUACAGGUGUGAGCCACCAUGCCCGGCCAUGAUUUUUCUUUUGGAAAUGGAGUCUCACUCUGUCGCCCAUGCUGGAGUGCAAUGGCACAGUCUCAGCCUCGCCGCGCCCUCUGCUUCCUGGCUUCAAGCAAUUCCCUUGCCUCAGCCUCCUAUGUAGCUGGGAUUACAGAUGCGCGCCACCAUGCCCAGCUAAUUUUUGUAUUUUUGGUAGAGACGGGGUUUCACCAUGUUGGCCAGGCUGGUCUCGAACUCCUGUCCUCAAGUGAUCCACCCACCUUGGCCUCCCAAAGUGCUGCGAUUACAGGCAUGAGCCCCACGCCCUGCCUCCUUGUCAUGGCUUUUACUCCACAGUGUGUAUGCCGUUGAAAUUGAAUAAAUAUGGAUUACAACAGAGACCACUGUUGUGCUAUGAUUACAUUUGUCAACUUAGAUAACAGAGAGGCUCUGUGAAAGAAAACGACAUUUAUUCAAAAAUAGGGCGUUGCAGUCGGAACACACGUGCGGUGGUAGACUGUGUGUGUUCAGGGAGGUAAAGGGAGAAAAAGGCUUUUAAAGGGAAAACGAGGAUCACACCGUUGUUUUGAGGCGAUUCCCCUUGUCUACAAGCAUCAGCGGCGGGGGGUGCCAGUCCAGGGUUGGACCGCAGUUGCUGGGCAGAUGUCCUCACAGUAUUUUCUGUCCAUGGUUGCAGUGGACUUCAUACAGCGUUGUGGUUUCUCAGUAUUUUGUGAUAGUAAUACAAGAGUUAUUAAGAAAUAAUUUUUAUGCCGGGUGCGGUGGCGCACGCCUGUAAUCCCAGCACUUUGGGAGGCCAAGGCAGGCAGAUCACCUGAGAUCAGGAGUUCGAGACCAGCCUGGCCAACAUGGUGAAACCCCAUCUCUACUAAAAAUACAAAAAUUAGCCGGGCGUGGUGGCGGGUGCCUGUAAUCCCAGCUACUCCGGAAGCUGAGGCAGGAGAAUCGCUUGAACCCGGGAGGCGGAGGUUGCAGUGAGUCAAGAUCACGCCAUUGCACUCCAGCCUGGGGGACAAGAGUGAGACUGUGUCUUUAAAAAAAAGAAAAAAAAGAAAUAAUUUUUAGGCAGCUGGAUAGGGUAAAGGUUCUAGGUGGAAACUAACAGAAAGGCGGCUUAAAGAGCCAGACCAGCAAGCUUUGAUAUGCAAACGCCGGCAAAUAGACACUGGGUCUACCCAACAUGGCGAUUCCCACAUCUUCUUGUCGACAGGUGUGCCAGGUGUCAUGGCCGCCCCCACAUAACACCAUGUGUUCAAAACGUCAUGGCAACCCACAUUUGCAUAUUAAAGGACUAAGGUGGGAGGGCCAGGUUUCUCAUGGACUACGUGAAUGAUACACCCGGUCAAACCAAUUCCCUGCCCCCUAUGCAAACCAGACACCGCCUCCUCCAGCCUCCCGCUAUCGUGGAAUGCCCUUCUGCGGCAUGCGGGGCCUCUUUGCUCUGAGCCCCACUGCGUCUCUGUAUAGGGGAGCUGUUUUAUUCUUUAUUCCUUCUUCCUUGCCUAUUAAACUUUCUGCUCCUUAAAACCACUCCACAUGUGUCCAUGUCGUUUUAUCUAAAUCGGCGGAGGACCAAGGACCGUGAUGUUCCUCCAGUCAUUGGAGCCGUAUCAAUAGCUCUUGCUAUCAGUAAUUCAUGCAGGAGAACCCUCCCUUUAUGGCCUCCCCCAGCGCUAUUUGUCAGAGUAUAUGUCGCCCGGGCUGGAGUGCAGUGGCAUGAUCUCAGCUCAUUGCAUCCUCUGCCUCCCAGAUUCAAGGGACUCUUCUGCCCCAGCCGCCCGAGUAGCCAGGACUACAGGUGCCACCAUGCCCGGCUAAUUUUUGUAUUUUUAGUAGAUACGGUGUUUCACCAUAUUGGCCAGGCUGGUCUCAAACUCCUGACCUCAUGAUCCACCCACCUCGGCCUCCCAAAGCGCUGGUAUUACAGGCGUGAGCCACUGCGCCCAGCCUAUUUGUCAGAGGCUUUUUUUUUUUUUUUUAACAGAAGUGACUCCAUUUUAAUUCUGAUAACUUUCUCAUUGUCCCCUUUUUACCAAGGUCUUUCUUUGAAAGAAUCACUGAUCAAUUAUUCUAUUGUUAGGUUUUGAUUGUCCCUUGUUGGUGCUGGGAUGUGGUGUCCUGCGGUUGCUGGUCUUGUCCCACAGUGGAGGGAAGUGAUUAGCAGCUAGAAGUCAGUGGCAAAACCUUUAGCCACAUUUGAACAAGAGAGAUUUGAAAGGAAUGUCUCUCAGGCUGAGUCUACCUGGAGUCCAUUAUUAAUUUCAGUUUUAUUUGUUUCAUAGUCUUUGCUAUCAUCUCAAAGAGCCGGUCCAGCAUUGUUCAGUUAGGAGGUGUACAUCUGCAGAAAUUUAACAAGUAACAGGCACAAAGUUUAAAAAGGGAAAAUACAAAGUAAAAUUAAUAGUAAUAUGAAAAUCCCAGUUUGCAUAACAGUUUUGAGCUACAAACCUAGGCUUAAGAUCACCAGUUGAAUGAACUAAAUGACCAUGAUCCUGUGGCACGAGCAGGUAGACGGUAAGAGGGAGGGCGUCUCUGAUACAGAAUCUCGUCCCGAUGAACUGGAAGCCCUGGCUACAGUGUGAAAACGCCAGCUUCUCUGCCUGGUUUGCAGGUGAAAUGUCUGUGGUUAUGGCAUUGGAUGGUUUGGUGAACUCCUGUGGGGCCCAUAUGUCAGAUAUGAGACUUGUUCCUUAAAAUUCAUCUAGUUUCAGUUUAUAGGGAUUUAGGAACAGAGCAGUUUUUAUUUUUAGUAAUUCCAUGGAAGAAAUUUUGACUGAAGGAAUCUAGAAGAAUUUAGGAUCUAGUCUAGUCUGUAGGUAGAUAUAAGAGCUCAAAUACAAUGCCCAGAGCUACAAUCUCCUAACAGAUGUAUUAUAGCUUUUCUUUUCCUUUUUCAAAAAGUAUAGAGAUAAGGGUCUCUCUAUUUUGCCCAGGCUGGUCUCGAACUCCUGGGCUCAAGUGAUCCUCCUACCUCAGCCUCCCAAAGUGUUGGGAUUACAGGCGUGAGGCACUGCACCCAGGCCUACAGCUUUUCUUUAGAAACAUAAGCUUUUCUCCCUAUGUUGAUCAGAUGGGAAUCUCAGAUUUAAUGGCCUCUUGAGGCUAAGAAGCCAAACCAAGGCAGGCUUUAGAUUUGACCGAUAGCCCUGAGGUUCCUGGGCCUGCCAGAUGGUGACAGUUUUUAUUUACUCUCGCUGUAAGGCUGGGAACUUUCUUUUUAUUUGGAGGGGGGAUGGAGUUUUGAUCUUGUUGCCCAGGCUGGAGCGCAAUGGCGCGAUGUUGGCUCACUUCAACCUCUGCCUCCCGGGUUCAAGCGGUUCUCCUGUCUCAGCCUCCCAGGUAGCUGGGAUUACAGGCGGCUGUCACCACGCCCAGCUAAUUUUAGUAUUUUUAGUAGAGAUGGGGUUUCACCAUGUUGGCCAGGCUGGUCUCAAACUCCUGACACCAGGUGAUCUUCCCACCUCAGCCUCCCAAAGUGCUGGGAUGAUAGGCGUGAGCCAGCGCGGCCGGCCAGGCUUGGAACGCUUGAGGCACAUUCUCAGAGACACGAUUUCGGUCACAGCCUUGGUAAUAUGACUGGUGUUUUCAGUUGUAGCCUCCUCUGUCUGUCUUGGUGGCCUCACGCCGUGGGCUGUGAUGCCGGCUACGCUGCUUGGGUGGCCAAGGGUCUGAGCUGCAAGACGCCCAGCCUGGGUCUCUCCCGAGCUCUCCCACGUCCUGUCUGCUCCUCCUCCGAGCUCCCGGUUGACUCUCACGACUGCACCAGCCUCUCCCCCAGGAAGGCGUGGAAACAACCUCCUUCUCCCAGGCCCGCUCUGCCUCCUGCGUUUCAAGGCAAAUCCGUUCCUCCAGGAGAUGAUGCAACCACAUCCUGUUGGAGCCCAGAGAAGUGCGGAUGCAGCCCGGGGCUCUUUCUUUCCUAGAACCCUGCCUGGGAGUGGCUUCCCUGAACUAAGGACAGAGACUUUGUCUUCGUUGCCUCUCGGCCUGUGGGCACUGAGCAUACAGUAGGUGCUCAGUAAAUGCUUGCAGGCCGAUGCCCAGAGCCAUUAGCCCUCAUCAUGGGAAAACAGGUGUCUCUGGUCCACAUGCAGAAGAGCCACCACCGUGGCACGACUGGAUGACUCAGACCCCGGGCGGGGGGUAUGAUUUGGACACAGUCAUUGUCCAGGGACACAACUUUGCCUGGACCAGAGCUUCUCACCCCCAGGCCAUUUGAAACCCCAGGGGAUACUCGACAAAGUCCAGAGACAUUUUGGGUUGUUCCUUUCCAGCCCCGGCGAUGGUGGGGACGUGUCCAUGUCUGUGUCCCUCCGGUCACUCUCUCUGGCCCUCUCCCUCCCUGGGGGCAGCUGCUCUCAGCCCUCCCUGCCCCCACAUCGCCAUCCUGCCUGUCCUUCUGGGCCUGCACGUUUGUUGUGUUUGGAAGGAGCCACCAAGGAGGAGGAUGUCAAUGUGCAAGUUCUCAGGGAAGCAGGCCCCGCAGCCUCCGUCAGUGUCUUCCGUCCGCAGGAAGAACCCAGGCCUGGGUGAUUCAUCGGGGCCUCAGGGCCGGGAGGCACUAAAUCUUCUGCAGAUGUGGUGGUGUGGGCUGUGUGGAUUUCGGAUGUGGGCCCAUAACAUAGCCACACUGCUGCAAAGCAAGUGAGUCUGAGGCAAGAAGAAGGCCCAACCUUGGGAGGCUGACCUGGAGGGCAGGCAGAGGCAGGUGGUAAGGACCUGCCUUACCUGUUGAGGUGACAGUGGGGGACAUAUUGCAAGGAAGGAGGCCCUGGAUCCUCAGGAUGUGGAUGGUGGGUAGAAGGGUGACAGCUAAUGGAUGUCCACCUGCACAGAUGCCCACCUGCAUGAGUGCCCACCUGCAUGAGUGCCCACUUGUACCAAUGUCCACCUGUACAGAUGUCCACAUGCAAAUGCCCAUCUGCACUGAUAUCCACCUGCACAGAUGCCUACCUGCAUGAAUACCCACUUGCCUGAAAGCCCACCUGCACCCAUGUCCACUGGCACAAAUGCCCACCUGCACCCGUGUCCACUGGCACAAAUGCCCACCUGCACAGAAGCCCACCCACACAAAUGCCCACCUGCAAAAAUGUCCGCCUGCACAGAUGUCCACCUGCAUGAAUGCCCACCUGUGUCCACAUGCACGAAUACCCACCUGCACAGAUGCCCACCUGCACGGAUGCCCACCUGUACAAAGGCCUACCUGCGUGAAUGUCCACCUGCAUGGAUGCCCACCCGCACGGAUGCCCACCUGCACAGUUAUCCAUCUGAACAGCCCUCUGGUGCCUCCUUUUGCUUGCACAUGUUCAAAUCCUCCCAGUCCUACAGUCGAUUGUUCCUAGUUGGGGUCAUUCUGGGCAUGUUAUUCUAAAACUUGUUUUUUCCCGUCUCCACAUCAAAGGAGAAAGGUCUAGCUUGCUUCUUUGCUAUAGAGCAGGGCCUGAGUGAGGUCAGGACCACAGAGCAGACCCUAUGAGUGUUGGUCAGGACACAGAGCAGGACCCCUUCAGGGUCUGGAAGAGGGUUCCCCAAGCUCCUGUUCAACCUGAGUGAGAGGCUCAGGCUGCCCCCAACACACUGCACAGAAAAAUGGGCCAUUGAUUCAGAGCCACCCACGCUAACAGCAGUUCAGCUGCAGCCCUCCGGCAGGCAGGUCCUGGGAACACUAGGAACCUGAGACCCUGUCCCUUCCUGAUAGCGGGGUGUGGUGACAUGAGGAGAGACUGGGUACCUCCAUUCUGCUCAUGAAAGUCACAGAGGGGACCGGGGACCCCAGGCCCCUAGCGAUACCAGCACCCCACACAAUGCCUUUCUGGGAUACACCCCCCCAACAUGGCCUGCCCAAGGCAUCAGGAGCUGUGUAGAGGAGUCAGCUGGGGGUGGCAGAGCCCCAGGGAACAAUCAUGGGUCGCUGGCAGAUAAGCCAUGCGCCCACACAGCACAGGCCCUCACCCCUGCAGCUGGGGGAGCCCUCCUUGGGAGCGGGCCCAGGAUCCGGGCAAAAUGACACAGACCGGAUCCAGGAGCAGACUGAGCAAAAGUGGCAAAAGUAUUCUCCAGGUUAAGGGAAUAUUUUCACCAAUUGAGAGACCAGCUGUCCCUCCAGACCCAAGGGUUCCACAUCCCUGGAGGCAACCAAGCCAGAUGCAAAAUAUUUGAAAAAGAAAAAUGAAAAAAAGAACAAUACAGCAAUAAAAAAGAACACAAAUAAAAAAUACAGUAUAGCUAUUGACAGAGCAUUGUGUUGUGUUAGGUCUGAUAAGUGAUCUAGCAAUGGUUUGCAGGAUGCAGGAAGAUGUGCGGGAGGGUGGGCACAGGUGCUAGGCAGACACUGCGCCAUUUUAUUCUGGGGACUUCAGUAUCUGCAGGGGUCCUGGGACUAAUC
rnacentral:lncRNA from 1 species